rnacentral:tRNA from 1 species
ACCGAAAUAGCUCUGUUGGAAGAGCUUAGAUAUAGAUCGAAAGGUCCCUGGUUUGAUCCCGGGAGUGGCUA